GACGAACGCUGGCGGCGUGCUUAACACAUGCAAGUCGAACGAAGUGGCGAACGGGUGAGUAACGCGUAAUCAACCUGCCCUUCAGCGGGGGACAACAGUUGGAAACGACUGCUAAUACCGCAUACUGAAGGAGGGGAUUGCGUCUGAUUAGCUGGUUGGAGGGGUAACGGCCCACCAGGGCGAUGAUCAGGAGCCGGUCUGGGAUGAUGAACGGCCAAAUUGGGACUUGGACACGGCCCAGACUCCUACGGGAGGCAGCCGUGGGGAAUCUUCCGAAAUGGACGAAAGGCUGACGGAGCAACGCCGCGUGAGUGAUGACGGCCUUCGGGUUGGAAAGCUCUGUUAAGCGGGACGCGGUACCGGAAUAGAAAGCCACGGCUAACUACGUGCCAGCAGCCGCGGUAAUAC
rnacentral:rRNA from 1 species